rnacentral:rRNA from 1 species
UACGGGGGGGGCAAGCGUUGUUCGGAAUUACUGGGCGUAAAGGGCUCGUAGGCGGCCAACUAAGUCAGACGUGAAAUCCCUCAGCUUAACUGGGGAACUGCGUCUGAUACUGGAUGGCUAGAGUGUGGGAGAGGGAUGCGGAAUUCCAGGUGUAGCGGUGAAAUGCGUAGAUAUCUGGAGGAACACCGGUGGCGAAGGCGGCAUCCUGGACCACGACUGACGCUGAGUGAGCGAAAAGCCAGGGGAGCAAACGGGG